AGGCCACUGAGCCGGUCCAGAUUUGCAUGACGCGCAAGGGGUCAGGGGUUCAAAUCCCUUACGGCCCACCC
rnacentral:tRNA from 1 species